CUGGUUCUUAAUUUGCUUUGAUUGAAAUAGUGUUUAAAAUUACAGAUUCAAGUGUGAUUACUCUAUUUAAGGGUGUUUGACUGUUAUUUACUGUUAUUUCAUUAUAUAUUUUGUACUGUUGUUUAAAGUGUCACAUUUUUAAGAGUGGAAAUGUCAGUUCAGGGUGAUUUAGCUGAGCAAAAUGAAUCUCCAUUACAAGAGCAAGCAGUCUUAAUUGGUGAUAUACCAGAGUAUGAAGUUACUGAGCAUGCCGUGAGAGAUCGCCAUGCAUCAUGUACCACAUGCACUGAAAAAUCUGAGGCAAGACUUAAAGAGCUUAAUUCUGCUUUAUUAAAGACUAAUGAAAUUAGAAAAUCUUCCCGUGAUAAACGUUUAACACCAAAGAUGCAGGAGUUAAAAGCGCAAGAACUGGUUCAAAGGGAAAGGAAGUUCAAAUCUGCAUAUGAGAAUUGGAAGAUCCAUGUCAGAGAUGUUCGUUUAAAGUUAAAACAUGAGUGCUCUGAAAGUGAUUUGUGUGACAUGAUGGAUGGGGUUGAGAAGAAAGAGUCUGAAUUGAAAGAUUUAUAUGAUAACAUGCGACUCCAAGCAGUACCAAGUCAAGAAAUUAGGAGAAAAAUUGAUGCAUGUUCAGCUGUGACGGCAGACUUGAUGAAAAUAAUGAGGGUACGUUUAGUGGAGGAUGGCAUGGAGUUUGAUGCCGAAGCCGAGAAAGCUAGAUUGCGUAUGCUGUUGGACUGUGAGUAUGCUAGGUCCAUAUACGGAUCCACAGUUUCUAGAGCCACAGUUGUUAGUAAUCAGUCUAAACCCUCUUCAGAGUCUGCAAGCAUUUCCGCUAGAAGAGCAGAGACUGCUGCGUUGUUAGCUGCAAAGAAAGCAGAAAUGGAAAUGGAGGCUGACAUUGAUGCACAAAGGCAGCGAUUGAAGAAGCUUGAAAAUCGUAGAGACAUUGAGGUUAUGGAAGCAAGGCUUCGAGUGUAUACUGAGGAGGAGUCAAGAGUGAAAAGUCAGCAGUGUGGUUCAGCAUGUAGUGAUGUGAGCGACCCCAGUCCCCUGGUUCCUAAUACAUCAUGUUUGAAUCAGCAAGUCACAAAAAAUGAAGUAUCCGUACUACAGGCAUUAUAAGAGUCAAUGGCCCUAUCUCGACUUCCCGUUCCAGAACGCUUUGUAUUUUUUGGUGACCCACUUAAGUUUAUAGAGUGGAGUACAACCUUUAAGGCUCUUAUAGAGAGACGGUGUCUGAAUCCAGCAGACAGGCUGUUCUAUUUGCAAAAGUAUAUUGAUGGUGAAGCAAGAUCAGUUUUGAAAGGCAGUUUUUAUAGGAAAGAUGAACAAGCCUAUCAGCAAGCCUGGGAGAAGUUAAAUGCUAGAUAUGGUCACUCCUUUGUGGCGCAACGUGCCUUUAGAGAGAAACUUAAUAGGUGGCCUAAGAUCAGUGCAUCAGAG
ensembl:lncRNA